rnacentral:rRNA from 1 species
CCUACGGGCGGCUGCAGUGGGGAAUAUUGCACAAUGGGCGCAAGCCUGAUGCAGCCAUGCCGCGUGUGUGAAGAAGGCCUUCGGGUUGUAAAGCACUUUCAGCGGGGAGGAAGGCGUUAAGGUUAAUAACCUUGUCGAUUGACGUUACCCGCAGAAGAAGCACCGGCUAACUCCGUGCCAGCAGCCGCGGUAAUACGGCGGGUGCAAGCGUUAAUCGGAACUACUGGGCGUAAAGCGCACGCAGGCGGUCUGUCAAGUCGGAUGUGAAAUCCCCGGGCUCAACCUGGGAACUGCAUUCGAAACUGGCAGGCUAGAGUCCUGUAGAGGGGGGUAGAAUUCCAGGUGUAGCGGUGAAAUGCGUAGAGAUCUGGAGGAAUACCGGUGGCGAAGGCGGCCCCCUGGACAAAGACUGACGCUCAGGUGCGAAAGCGUGGGGAGCAAACAGGAUUAGAUACCCCGGUAGUC